UAGCUGGGCUUGUGUGAUUGGAUUCCUCCCUGUAUUUUCAAGUACCAUGGAUCCUCCCCACUGUAGAAGCGGCCGAUUCAAAACAAGUUUAGCCCAGCACAGUCAGAAGUUUAAGAUGGCAAGAAGGAACUUCCUACGAAACUGCAAGCAGACCCUAAAUGACUGCACUUGGCUUUUGUUAUCCGAUAACGCUGGACACGACGACCUUCAGUCCACGUUGACAAGGAUGGAAACAAUGCAGCGAAGCCUAGAGUGGGCAAGGGGUACGCUCUUGAAUGUUGCUUCAGCAGACGGCUCUAAUAGCUAUAGUAUCCAAGUUCAUCAAGGAGAUUCGCACCUAUGGUCGGCAUGCACAACAAGCCAGUUCCGGUUACCAGGCUCCAUUGACCUGGAGUGGAGCUAAAGGUGCUCCUCGUUAUGCCACCACCCGAGAGCAGCUGAGGGGUCUGAUGAUAGAUGGAAGAUAUUCUCCAUGUGUUCCACUACACUCAAAACCACA